UGAGAUGGAAAUGGCUCAUUUGAGAUUGAGAACGCUACUUCAAAAAGUCAUCAUUUAAAAUAAUUUUCUGCACCAAUCUUAUUUUGGGAUAUCUCUACCAUUUUAAACGUUACCGUUUUUAUUUCUAAACUAGCCUAAUGUCUGACAAUGUGGUAGGCUUGAAAAAGCAUUUUCUGUAAACGUAAAAAAAUUCUUCAGGUCAAAAAAGAAUGUCACUUUUUGCGAGUAUUGUUGCACAAGCUUGAUAUUCAUAUAUGAUCCAGCUGUUAUUUUCUGGCUCACACUAAGCUGGACUGAUAGAUCACUCGUAAGCUCUUUAAAAAUGGACUACAUUACAUUAAUUUGUAUAAAAAUGUUUUCUCCAAAUGGUUGCUAAUACAUUGCCUAUAGUUAAAAGACCUAUAAAAGUUGAAUUUAAAAAGGUCAGAGUAUCAUUUAUACUUAGCUGAUACACAUACGUUGUUGAAAACGUUAUAAAAAUUUUGAAUGUUGCGUUGGCACAGUAUAGGUCACUAACGUUGUUACUAACUGGUUACAAAUCCAACGUUGCCAACAACAAAAAACUAAUAUUUCUAUUUUAGAGAUUAGAAGUAUUUGUUUAUAGACAUGAUCAGAUCUUGUAAAAUAUCAAUACCUUAAAUAGAAAUGAUAGCCGAAACCUAUGUUUUAAAGAUAGAUUUCCUCUUUUACUUUUUAUAGUUUUUGGAAAAAGUGAAAAAAAAUCUUCAUUAACAGCUAUGCUUAGUAUAUGUGAAGAAGAACUUUUUACAAACUUGAAAAAGUAUUGUUGGGCAAGCAAAAUGUUCAUUCGAGCUGUUUGGAUAGAAAAUACAGAGAAAUAAAAAGAGAAAACUCGAUUGAUAAUUUUUUGUGCUGGCCAUCAUCAUUAAAUGUAAUAAAUGCAUAAACCGCAUCUAAUUAAUACAGAUUUACGCUGCUCAAAAUUAAAUGUCAUUGAGAUCAUGAGCCACUACCAUGCUUAUGCAAGAGAAAACAUAAUAACCA